UUAGGGGUAGGGAUAAUAACGUCAAGGGUCGACGGAACGGAAUGUGAACGUCGAUUGAAGGACCUCCGUCAUAGGUUCGCGCUAUUAUUCCGCAUUCACCAAA
rfam:Lactobacillus pobuzihii strain NBRC 103219 NODE_10, whole genome shotgun sequence.